UGGCUUGGAACGGGCAAGAAAAUUUCUCUUUGUGUUGAAGUCAUUAGUUCUAACCCAGACCUCACAACACAAAGAAAAAUUUUCUUGUGCGUUCAAAUC
rnacentral:miRNA from 1 species